rnacentral:rRNA from 1 species
GAACGCUAGCUACAGGCUUAACACAUGCAAGUCGAGGGGCAGCAUGGUCUUAGCUUGCUAAGGCCGAUGGCGACCGGCGCACGGGUGAGUAACACGUAUCCAACCUGCCGUCUACUCUUGGACAGCCUUCUGAAAGGAAGAUUAAUACAAGAUGGCAUCAUGAGUCCGCAUGUUCACAUGAUUAAAGGUAUUCCGGUAGACGAUGGGGAUGCGUUCCAUUAGAUAGUAGGCGGGGUAACGGCCCACCUAGUCUUCGAUGGAUAGGGGUUCUGAGAGGAAGGUCCCCCACAUUGGAACUGAGACACGGUCCAAACUCCUACGGGAGGCAGCAGUGAGGAAUAUUGGUCAAUGGGCGAGAGCCUGAACCAGCCAAGUAGCGUGAAGGAUGACUGCCCUAUGGGUUGUAAACUUCUUUUAUAAAGGAAUAAAGUCGGGUAUGGAUACCCGUUUGCAUGUACUUUAUGAAUAAGGAUCGGCUAACUCCGUGCCAGCAGCCGCGGUAAUACGGAGGAUCCGAGCGUUAUCCGGAUUUAUUGGGUUUAAAGGGAGCGUAGAUGGAUGUUUAAGUCAGUUGUGAAAGUUUGCGGCUCAACCGUAAAAUUGCAGUUGAUACUGGAUAUCUUGAGUGCAGUUGAGGCAGGCGGAAUUCGUGGUGUAGCGGUGAAAUGCUUAGAUAUCACGAAGAACUCCGAUUGCGAAGGCAGCCUGCUAAGCUGCAACUGACAUUGAGGCUCGAAAGUGUGGGUAUCAAACAGGAUUAGAUACCCUGGUAGUCCACACGGUAAACGAUGAAUACUCGCUGUUUGCGAUAUACAGCAAGCGGCCAAGCGAAAGCGUUAAGUAUUCCACCUGGGGAGUACGCCGGCAACGGUGAAACUCAAAGGAAUUGACGGGGGCCCGCACAAGCGGAGGAACAUGUGGUUUAAUUCGAUGAUACGCGAGGAACCUUACCCGGGCUUAAAUUGCAGAUGAAUUACGGUGAAAGCCGUAAGCCGCAAGGCAUCUGUGAAGGUGCUGCAUGGUUGUCGUCAGCUCGUGCCGUGAGGUGUCGGCUUAAGUGCCAUAACGAGCGCAACCCUUGUUGUCAGUUACUAACAGGUUCCGCUGAGGACUCUGACAAGACUGCCAUCGUAAGAUGUGAGGAAGGUGGGGAUGACGUCAAAUCAGCACGGCCCUUACGUCCGGGGCUACACACGUGUUACAAUGGGGGGUACAGAGGGCCGCUACCACGCGAGUGGAUGCCAAUCCCCAAAACCUCUCUCAGUUCGGACUGGAGUCUGCAACCCGACUCCACGAAGCUGGAUUCGCUAGUAAUCGCGCAUCAGCCACGGCGCGGUGAAUACGUUCCCGGGCCUUGUACACACCGCCCGUCAAGCCAUGGGAGCCGGGGGUACCUGAAGUGCGUAACCGCGAGGAGCGCCCUAGGGUAAAACUGGUGACUGGGGC